rnacentral:rRNA from 1 species
AACGAACGCUGGCGGCAUGCCUAACACAUGCAAGUCGAACGAGACCUUCGGGUCUAGUGGCGCACGGGUGCGUAACGCGUGGGAACCUGCCCUUAGGUUCGGAAUAACUCCCCGAAAGGGGUGCUAAUACCGGAUAAUGUCUUCGGACCAAAGAUUUAUCGCCUUUGGAUGGGCCCGCGUUGGAUUAGCUAGUUGGUAGGGUAAAAGCCUACCAAGGCGACGAUCCAUAGCUGGUCUGAGAGGAUGAUCAGCCACACUGGGACUGAGACACGGCCCAGACUCCUACGGGAGGCAGCAGUAGGGAAUAUUGGACAAUGGGCGAAAGCCUGAUCCAGCUAUGCCGCGUGAGUGAUGAAGGCCUUAGGGUUGUAAAGCUCUUUUACCCGGGAUGAUAAUGACAGUACCGGGAGAAUAAGCUCCGGCUAACUCCGUG